CGCCCGCGCCCCCGCCUCCGCCGGCACAGACUGCCGCUUAAUGCUUGCGUACUACAUCUGCAAACCAUGCAAGUACUUCAUAUAUUAAGGUAGAUAUUCCAACCCAAAGAGAAUGAGGAAUGAAUAGAUAGAAAGAAAAAUAUGGAUCAGGAAUUGUGUAAGUUAAAAGAAAUGUGAUUUCUGUCCUAAAAAGGCCUAAUUAAUUUUAAUGUAUUUAUUCGUAAAUUUGCGAUUUUUCAUCUGUGAUCAGUCGGAGAGUACGAUGGCCAGCACCGGCGGCAAGUGGCGCGUAUGUUCCCUUACUGUCUCAUCGCUUCUCAUAUUAAACAACUAUAAUGUUAACACAGAAUACGAAAGCCAAAUUCUUUAUCAGUAUUUGAAUCGAGUUACUGUUAUCUUUUACAUAUCAGUAUGUGACUUGCAUAGUGUACUAAAGAAACGAGUGACGCUUUGGUGUUUAAGUAUUGUCCUUGAUAAUUCUUCUCGUCGUCGUAAGUAUUUGCCAUUGUUGUCAGUAUAUACAUGACACAACUAAGUCAGCUUCGAAAGUGAACGCUUAUCAUUACAUCGAAUUAGAGGAAUUUUGGAUUCGUAGUUAUGGUAGUCAUACUACUGUUUGUUUAUAGUAACUUAGUCCGUCUUGAGAAUUUUUGAUGUUCCCAAUUAUAAUGUCAGUUACAUGGUAUUACUUUGGCGAAUAUUAAGUGGAAUAUUAAAUCAACGUCUCAGUGAAUAUGUGUAUAUGAAAUGGGACAGUUGUUGCUUACAAAUAGACUUAUGUCGGAGACAUGUUAAUACGGAUAUUUAUAUGGGGCUUCCAUAGUUUUAAAUAAAUGACAAGUUAAUAUGACUUACCCCCAAAUGUGACAUAAGCUAAAUUCAAGUGAAAUAUUUUUAUACAAUUCAAUGCUUUACACGAUUAUUGCGUACAAUACAA